rnacentral:tRNA from 2 species
CUCCGGGUGGUCGACGACGACCGGGCGCUUCACCGUGGCGCCGAUGCCCAGGAUGGCGACCUGGUUCGGCGG